rfam:Chitinivibrio alkaliphilus ACht1 contig00046, whole genome shotgun sequence.
CCCGGUGGUUAUUGAGCGGAGGAUACACCUGUUCCCAUUCCGAACACAGAAGUUAAGCUCCGCAUCGCUGAUGGUACUGCGUGGGUGACUGCGUGGGAGAGUAGGUCACUGCCGGGU